CUAAUGUGGGAAAAUGUUUUCUCAGAGUAGCCACCUUAAAAGUCACCAGCGCAUUCACACUGGAGAGAAGCUGUACUGCUGUGAUCAAUGUGGGAAAACGUUUUCUCAGAGUAGCCACCUUAAAAGUCACCAGUGGAUUCACACUGGAGAGAAGUUGUACUGGUGUGAUCAAUGUGGGAAAACGUUUGCUCGUAGUGGUAGCCUUUACUCUCACCAGCGCAUUCACAUUGGAGAGAAGCCGUACUGGUGUGAACAAUGUGGAAAAAGUUUUCUGAGAGUAGUCACCUUAAAUCUCACCAGCUCAUUCACACUGCCUCGUAGUGAACAUGUUUCAGAGCCAAGCUGUUUCCUCCUGCCUCCUCCUCAUGCCCUGAUAGCUGUGUUGUUAUAUUCUGA